UAACUGAAGGAAUCUCUUUUUAAUUAAACGGCGUGUUUAUUUGCUAUCUGGAGGGAGGGAGUUCACUGUCUGUAUUUAAGCAGUCACAUUUGUGGGCCAGUUUAAGAGAAGUGUUUUGUAGCCUGUAGCUUUCACUGGGAAUGUGGGGCACUGAUGUUUUUUGAUAGUGGAAAACAUACUUUGCAUGGUAGUUUCAAGUGGCUUUUUUUUUUUUUUUUUGAGACAGGGUCUUUUCAUAUAGUUUCUAGCUGGCCCAAAACUCCCUUUGUAGACUAGGCUGGCCUCAAACUCACAGAGAUCCACCUGUCUCAGCACCCUAAGCACUGGGGAUUAAAGGUGUAGUUGUCACACCUGGCUCUCAGAAGACUUUUAAAAAAUUGCACAUCUAUCAUUUAUUGCCAUUGUCCUUUGACCCCUCCUCAGAAAAAAAUAGCCAUGGCCACUAAGCUUUUACUGUUUUUGAAAUAAGGGACUCUUUGAAACACCAAACUCAUCAUUGAGGCCUAUACAUCUGAAUCCUAUAUACCCAGGACAUGAGGCCCAUCAUAGCCGUGCCUUCCAGCGUUGUUCUAAGACUUCAGUGGAGCAUACUGCUUGUUUGGCACAUUUCUUAAUGUCUCUCUUGUAAAUACAUCAAGUCAAUAUGCCAGACAGGUAUUGGUGGUUCGUUCUUUUCAUCUCCCAUACUUGAGAAGCAGAGGCAGGCGAUGAGUUUGAAGCUAGGCUUCACUAUAGAGUGAGUUUCAGGACAGCCAAAGAUACAUAGUGAAGUCCUGUUUCAAAAAACAAACACACACUAGGCAGUGGAGGCCCAUGCCUUUCAUCCCAGCACUCAGGAGGCAGAGGCAGGUGGAUUUCUGAGUUCGAGGCCAGCCUGGUCUACAGAGUGAGUUCCAGGACAGCCAAGACUACACAUAAAAAAGUGAAUGUUUGCACAGUGGCAUAGUGCGGGUUUUGAGAAGUGAGAUGCCGCUCCUGUUGGCUCCACACCAGGCACGGGGCUUAAUGUGUGUGAUAGUUGCCCAACACAAGAGCUGCCUUGAAUUGUUGAAACAAAACAAAACUGAGUUCUCUGAAAAUGGUUUAAAUUUG
rnacentral:lncRNA from 1 species